UACGUAGGGUGCAAGCGUUGUCCGGAAUUAUUGGGCGUAAAGAGCUCGUAGGCGGUCUGUCGCGUCGGCUGUGAAAACCCGAGGCUCAACCUCGGGCCUGCAGUCGAUACGGGCAAACUAGAGUACUGCAGGGGAGACUGGAAUUCCUGGUGUAGCGGUGAAAUGCGCAGAUAUCGGGAGGAACACCUAUUGGCGAAGGCAGCUCGCUGGGACGUCAACUGACGCUGGAGACGCGAAAGCGUGGGGAGCAAACAGG
rnacentral:rRNA from 1 species